UCCGGAUUAAUCUCCGGCAGUCUGUUAUGAGUUCUCGCCAUAACGCGUUAGUAACAUAACAUAAGGGUUGCGAUCGUUGCGGGACUUAACCCAACAUCUCACGACACGAGCUGACGACAGCCAUGCAGUGCCUGGUCUACGGCUCCUUGCGGCACCACCCCGUUUCUGGGGUGUUCCGUAGAUUUCAAGCCUUGGUAAGGUUCUUCGCUUAGCAUCGAAUUAAACCACAUGCUCCACCGCUUGUGCGGGCUCCCGUCAAUUCCUUUGAGUUUUAAUCUUGCGAUCGUACUACCCAGGCGGGAUACUUAACGCGUUAACUACGAGACCGAAAGGGUCGAAGCUCCCAGCCCCUAGUAUCCAAAGUUUACGGUGUGGACUAC
rnacentral:misc_RNA from 1 species